rnacentral:rRNA from 1 species
AAAUUAAAGAGUUUGAUCAUGGCUCAGAUUGAACGCUGGCGGCAGGCCUAACACAUGCAAGUCGAACGGUAACAGGAAGCAGCUUGCUGCUUYGCUGACGAGUGGCGGACGGGUGAGUAAUGUCUGGGAAACUGCCUGAUGGAGGGGGAUAACUACUGGAAACGGUAGCUAAUACCGCAUAACGUCGCAAGACCAAAGAGGGGGACCUUCGGGCCUCUUGCCAUCGGAUGUGCCCAGAUGGGAUUAGCUAGUAGGUGGGGUAACGGCUCACCUAGGCGACGAUCCCUAGCUGGUCUGAGAGGAUGGAGAGGAUG